UCUCACCCACGUGGACAAAUGGACCAGGGACUGGCAAGGUAAAGAAACUCCUGAAGACUCAGUGAGGGUAGAGUAUAGCGGGGCAAGAGUGAAGUGGUGUUGGUCUAGCCGUACUGAGGAACACACAAUGGAGCAGAUACCCAGCUCAGCAUUUCAAAUACCCAGACUAGAUGAGGUAAGAAUGAAAAGAAAGAAACGCCUCAGAACAAAGUGAUGACAACAACAACUAUUGGUGUGUUAUGGGAGGGGCUGGGGCUGGAGGACGAAGGAUCGGGCAAUGUGGUUGUCGCAAAUACCAGGAGGUUCGAAGGUCGUCCUGUGGACUACAGUGGAGAGGGCUAUGUGGUUUGUAUCAGCAGUGGCAAUGACAGCAAGGGUUUCCUCAUGAAGCAAGGUGUCCUCACUAAUGGCCGUGUUAAAAGCUCCUCCUCAAGAAGUGGCACAGUUGUUACAGACCCAGACACACUGGAGAAAGGAAACGCAAGUCAGUGAGAGGCUGCAUAGUGGACAGCAACCUGAGUGUGCUCAAUCUAGUCAUCAUCAAGAAAGGUUGGUGGAGGAGCACUCUAAAACACUGGAUAGGGUCACUGAACUAUGGAAGCAGAAGUGGCCUGUCAAUUGGGACGAUGUGCGUAUGCACACACACACACACACACACACACAGUUGGACGGACAGUAAGAGGUUGUCGUGGGCCAGUACUAGCACCACUCCGGUCCUCAAACCAAAGAGGGCAAUCAACUGCGAGGAUAACACAUAGCAAUCCUCUGUAUCACAUGACUCAGAGCCGCUGAGUGAAGCCAUAGCCCAGAGCAGGACCUCAUUGACCAACUAUAAGCCUCAGAGCAGAGAGAGCUACAGCUCACCAGACUCAAUUAAAGGACUAUUCCUGUGAAACAGAGUCUCAGGAUAGCAGUGGCAACAAGCCCACAAAGCUGGUCUCUAUGGUAACUGCCGUCAAGCGUAACCAUGACAGCGAUGCGGAGGCGUAUAUUCUGCAACCCCCCAGCAACAACCACCGAGGCCUACAUCUGACGGUGUUAUAUAUGGCAACUUCAAUGAGAGGAGGAUUGAAUACGAGGAAGUGCUCUUGUCUGAGCGUACUGAUAGCCAGUACUCACAGUCUGAGAGCUAUCUCUCUGAGAGUAGCUACUAUGGUGGACUGAGCAGCACUCAGAGUAUCGACCUGACCUUCCACUCCUCCAGAUCACCCCCUCACAUAACAGAUUGACUGUGGACACAAUGAUGACGACGCAGUCUCCCACACAGCAUCACAGUGACGAGGAGGAGGGCACAGGUGUCGGCUUUAUGGCACGUGACGAUGCCUCAAGCACAGACUCACCGUCACUGCAGCAGGCUCUCUGUUACCUGCACUGUCAGUGGAUUGUUCACAAUGACCUGAGACCCUACUGCGGGGUCAUGGCAUCAUUAAGAGGCACAAGGCAGACUAGUGUCCUCGUGGUGAAGCUACACCUUCAACUGUAUGAGAUGUACACACAAGAACACAAUCUGCUUGACUUCAAGAGUGUGACCUGGCCCCAUACUAACUUUGGAAUGACGAGUAUAAAUGUCUUUGUCAUGAGGUGCAAGAUUGCUUAUGUGAUCUUUCAACUCCUUGUGUACACUAUCCAUUGUUUUCUGACAUACAUGUAUGCAGUUAAUUUAUUAGCUUACUAGUGACCUACGUAUAUACCACAACCUUGUAAUACAUUAUUUCAUAUUUCUUUCAUGCAUGUUUGUUCAUUGCAGUUCUUGAUAUAA